rnacentral:tRNA from 1 species
GCCAGCUUGGCGUAGCGGUUUGAGCAUUGGACUAUGACUCUGGAGAUCAGGGUUCGAUUCCCCACUGGGCC